AUUGAACGCUGGCAGCAGGCCUAACGCAUGCAAGUCGAGCGGCAGCGGGAAAGUAGCUUGCUACUUUUGCCGGCGAGCGGCGGACGGGUGAGUAAUGCCUGGGGAUCUGCCCAGUCGAGGGGGAUAACUACUGGAAACGGUAGCUAAUACCGCAUACGCCCUACGGGGGAAAGCAGGGGACCUUCGGGCCUUGCGCGAUUGGAUGAACCCCGGUGGGAUUAGCUAGUUGGUGAGGUAAUGGCUCACCAAGGCGACGAUCCCUAGCUGGUCUGAGAGGAUGAUCAGCCACACUGGAACUGAGACACGGUCCAGACUCCUACGGGAGGCAGCAGUGGGGAAUAUUGCACAAUGGGGGAAACCCUGAUGCAGCCAUGCCGCGUGUGUGAAGAAGGCCUUCGGGUUGUAAAGCACUUUCAGCGAGGAGGAAAGGUUGGUAGCUAAUAACUGCCAGCUGUGACGAUACUCGCAGAAGAAGCACCGGCUAACUCCGUGCCAGCCGCCGCCGUAAGAC
rnacentral:rRNA from 1 species